rnacentral:rRNA from 1 species
UAACACCGGUUCUCGUUCGAUCACCGAAGUUAAGCAAUCUAGAGCCAGGUCAGUACUUAGAUGGGGGACCGCUUGGGAACACCUGGUACUGUAAG